rnacentral:rRNA from 1 species
GAUCCUGGCUCAGAAUCAACGCUGGCGGCGUGCCUAACACAUGCAAGUCGAACGUGAAAGGGGCUUCGGCCCUGAGUAAAGUGGCAAACGGGUGAGUAACGCGUGGGUGAUCUGCCUUUGAGUGGGGGAUAACCUUCCGAAAGGAGGGCUAAUACCGCAUGACAUCCUGUUCUUGGAUGAACGGUGAUCGAAGCUGGGGACCGCAAGGCCUGGCGCUUGAAGAGGAGCCCGCGCCCGAUUAGCUAGUUGGUGGGGUAACGGCUCACCAAGGCUCCGAUCGGUAUCCGGCCUGAGAGGGCGGACGGACACACUGGAACUGAGACACGGUCCAGACUCCUACGGGAGGCAGCAGUGGGGAAUUGUUCGCAAUGGGCGCAAGCCUGACGACGCAACGCCGCGUGGAGGAUGAAGACCUUCGGGUCGUAAACUCCUUUCGACCGAGAUGAAUUCCCGCCGACCUAACACGUCGGCGGGGUGACAGUAUCGAGGGAAGCAGCCCCGGCUAACUCCGUGCCAGCAGCCGCGGUAAUACGGGGGGGGCAAGCGUUGUUCGGAAUUACUGGGCGUAAAGGGUUCGUAGGUGGCCGGCUAAGUCAGACGUGAAAUCCCUCAGCUUAACUGGGGAACUGCGUCUGAGACUGGUCGGCUCGAGGGCAGGAGAGGAACGCGGAAUUCCAGGUGUAGCGGUGA